rfam:Ruegeria atlantica strain CECT 4293 genome assembly, contig: 0020
UGGCACCUACGGGGGCCUAUCACAUAGCGGGGAAAUCCCCGCACUUGCUAAACGGAAGACAGAAA